rnacentral:rRNA from 1 species
GUCCACGCCGUAAACGAUGGAUACUAGCUGUUCGGCGCAAGUUGAGUGGCUAAGCGAAAGUGAUAAGUAUCCCACCUGGGGGAGUACGCACGCAAGUGUGAAACUCAAAGGAAUUGACGGGGGGCCCGCACAAGCGGUGGAGCAUGUGGUUUAAUUCGAUGAUACGCGAGGAACCUUACCAGGGCUUAAAUGUAGAUUGGCAGGUCUGGAAACAGACUUUUCUUCGGACAAUUUACAAGGUGCUGCAUGGUUGUCGU